UGCCCACCAACAAGCUGGGUGAGGCCCCUCCAUGUCUCCCCUUAAUCCAUCUCACUCCAGGUUCAGCUCCUUCCUUCUGGAACUGACCUCCACUGACAACUCAGCAUUUUGUUUGGUUUUCUGAUGGCUUCAUUCCAGCAUUUUGUUCUAUUUGAGGUCAUAGUUUCAUCCCUAAUCUGGCCCCUCAUAUUUCCUGCUUCGUCAUCAGGCCCUGGAGGCCAGAAUGGGUCCCAGCCCUGGGAUUGGAAGGAAGAACUCUGAAUGGCACCCCCCUUCCCUGCCAUCUCCUAGCAGUUCAUUUCCCAUGGCUCUCCACACUGGUGUUCCCCAACACGCUGUGCCUGCGGGUCUGUUCUGCCACGAAUAAUCUCCCCUCCCAGGAGUUACCGCAGUUCCUUCUCUCCUUCAAGUCUUUGCUCAAAUGUCACCUUCCAAGUACUGCCUUCCCUGGCCACCCUAUUUAAAACUAUACACACUCCACCCUCAACCUGCACCCCAUCAUCCUUCCCUGCUUUCUCCUAUCACCACCUGAUAUCCAAUAAAUUUUACUUAUUUAUUUUCUGGCUCCACCCACAGAAUGCAUAGUCUUUAAGAGCAGGUUUGUGUUGAUUUUGUUGAUACAGUGUAGUGCCUGGCAUGUUGUAGGUGCUGGAUAAAUAUUUGUUGAAUGAAUAAAUGAAUGAAUGAGUGAAUAUCACAAGGCCCUCACACUCCCGAAUCCCAUGGCAUGGUGCCCAGCCAGCCCAGCAUCCCAGCAACCAACCCAGCCUGUGAUUGGAUCUGAAAUGGAACCAGCCUGUCUGUCAGUUUCUGAUGCUUCCUCAUUGUUCAUUUCCAAAAGGUGAAAACCUGAGGAGUCAGUCCUCCUACAGCCAGAGGAGUGGUGGUUAGGAAGGGGAUGGAGAGUGGUUUGUGUGCUCUGGGCAAAUGGAAGGUGCACUGAGGCCUUGCAGGAGAAAAGUGGGAGGAGGGCAGGGGGAAGAGGUAAGAGUCAACUUUGGUUCAUUUACUCCUUGUGUUCAGCCUUGAAGUGGAAAAUCACUGUGUAGGUAAGGGGAAAGUAGGCUUGGCCUGUGGCGGCUGAUGGGAAGGAGAGCUGGAGCAGGGAGGCAGGGAGCAGGGGAAGGAGGAGCAGGAGAUGGAGAAGCAGGAGGAAGAGAGAUUCACAGUGAGGCUGACCUGUGUGGAAAUAACUUAGUUCUGCACGGUCUGUUCCUGUGUGCUGAAUGUGCAUCCAGGUGUGAGAAUUCACAGCACAAGGGCUCACGGGGUGACCAUGUGUGGAGGCUGCCUGUGAGCAUGUGUUUACCAAGGACUAGGGACUGGAGGUGCGGAGAAGUGUAUGUAGGCAGAGUGUAAGCAUCUGAGCCCUUGUGCGUGGCUCCGCGGACAACAGUAGGUCCAUUCUUACCUGUGCAGCCCAGGGAGGUCUCUGAGAGCCUGGCAAAAGGCCCAAGGAUCGGUGAAACAGGGAAAGGGCUGGACAGUAGGGCCCCAGGGAGGGAGCAGUAAAGGGCCUGGGAUUAAAUUUGUUGAAGAGAAG
ensembl:lncRNA